GAGAGGUGCUGCAUGGCUGUCGUCAGCUCGUGUUGUGAAAUGUUGGGUUAAGUCUCGCAACGAGCGCAACCCCUAUCGUCUGUUGCCAGCAUUAAGUUGGGCACUCUGACGAGACUGCCUGGGUUAACCAGGAGGAAGGUGGGGAUGACGUCAAGUCCUCAUGGCCCUUAUGUCUAGGGCUACACACGUAAUACAAUGGCGCGUACAAAGGGAAGCGAACUCGCGAGAGGGAGCGAAUCUCAAAAAGCGCGCCUCAGUUCGGAUUGAAGUCUGCAACUCGAUUUCAUGAAGUUGGAAUCGCUAGUA
rnacentral:rRNA from 1 species